UACGUAGGGUGCAAGCGUUAAUCGGAAUUACUGGGCGUAAAGCGUGCGCCAGGCGGUGAUGUAAGACAGUUGUGAAAUCCCCGGGCUCAACCUGGGAACUGCAUCUGUGACUGCAUCGCUGGAGUGCGGCAGAGGGGGAUGGAAUUCCGCGUGUAGCAGUGAAAUGCGUAGAUAUGCGGAGGAACACCGAUGGCGAAGGCAAUCCCCUGGGCCUGCACUGACGCUUAUGCACGAAAGCGUGGGGAGCAACAGG
rnacentral:rRNA from 1 species